rnacentral:tRNA from 1 species
GGAGAUUUAGCUCAGCGGUAGAGUGCUUGCCUAGCAAGCGCGAGGCCCUGGGUUCGGUCCCCAGCUCCG